GAAGAGUGGUCAGUUCUCUUAACCACUGGGCCUUCCCAGUAGCCUCCUACAAUUAUUUUAUUAAUGGAACUAAGAGGUAGCCCUGGUUACCUUGGAGUCAUCUAGUGAUCCUAAAGGGAUCCCCCCCCCAAAAUCUAGUAUCAACCACGGUUUGGCUACAGAUAGGAUUUUCAGUAACUUGAUGUAAAAGUAAAUCUGUAAGUGUAUAUUACUCUAGCUACCAUUCUGGUAGAGCAUGACCAACCAAGCACAUAGCUGCUUAUAAAAGUCACCUUGGUGUUUCACGGUAUGCCUGCAGUACAGCAAUAUCUUCCUAGUAUCUCAUGCUAUGGCUACAACGGUAUUUAUUUGAAGGGAGUAAAACUGCAAGUAAUUAUCAGAAAAAAUCAAUCUUUAGAACUGAGCAUUUCCUCUGUUCAAGCUGCAUGGAGCUACUAAAAUUGGCAUUGCUGCUCUCCGAAGGUUUCCUUUUACCAGAAAGCAUGAGUGGAUCACCCGUAGGUCACAUGUUCUGAGUGAUAUAACUUCCUCUUGCAAAAGUCUCAGCCACAGGACAAAGCGGCUUCCUGAAAGUCCUUAGGUCAGCCUUUGUUCUAGAGCACACAUGCCUGAAAGCGCUAGUUAUAGCAACAGGAUUGUAAACAUUUUGUUAAACAAUUGACCACCUAAAACAUCUCCUAGCUGCCUUGGGGGUGAGCCCACCCAUUGGACGAGACACUGCAUGACGAGACACUGCGUGAGGAGACACUGAGCAGCGACAGCAGCAGGAGUGCCCGUUGAGAUGACCCAGCAGAGGAAGGUGAAGAUGUAUUAGCCCAUUUGAAACAAGAUUCCUGUGACAGAAAAUAAAAAGAAGCAAUCAAUAAUGUGCAAGGAUGAGUCUUCCACUAGCAGCCUUUGGAUGAAGACGUAGAACUCUCAGCUAUGCCUGCGCCAUGACAGCCUGGAUGCUGCCAUGCUCCCACCUUGAUCAUAAUGGACUGAACCUCUGAACCUCAGAUGGACAAACAGAUGGACUAUGGCUACAGCUACAUGGAAUGUCAAGGUAGAGGGGUGAGACUGUGAGCAAUGAUUAUGAAGAGACCAGCAUCACUAAGGUGAAAUCUUCUGGGAAGUGUUUUCUGGGAGCACAAAGAAGUUGUCUUCCAGAGAUAGUCAAGGUUGUACCUCGUGCUGCAGCUGGACUUGGUAAUGUGUAAUCACCAGGUGGUACUGGUUUUGAAUUCAUGAAGCUGUCAUGGAAAACAGCUGAGGCUUGGCACUGUGAGAGGUCAUGGAAGGCCAUUGGAGAAGGUAUAGCCUCAGCUGUAGUUGAUGGCCCAGGACUGAAGGAGUCAUGCAAAGGAUUUGAGGCUUGACACCAUGAAGAGAGCCUAUGAGAGGCUAUUGGUGAAGCCUAGUUGGAGUGGAACCCCCCAGUGUAUUGGAGAUGUCAGUACCAUGGUAUGAUCACCAAGAACAGCAGCCAUAGUGGAGUGGAUCAACCUGAGCUUAGAGUGCUACAGAGGGCAGAGCUGGAAAAGUGAUGCCAGCCCUUAGGAGGAGCCCAAAAGAUCAAGUGGAAUCCCAGACACUGAAACAAGAAGCUGUAACAUUGAAAUUGCCUUGGAGACUCAGAGCCAUGGGAUAUAUUCUGAGGAAAGCUGCUAACAGGGAGUGGAACCAGCCCAGGAGAAAGCAGUUUGUUGCAGUCAACAAAGAUGAAAAAGGAAUGGAGAUCUGAAGACUGCUUUGACAUCAGCCAUGGAGAUGCAGAGUUUGGAGUUUGCCCAGCUGGUUUCCUGCCUUUCUUUGGAGAUUACAGUUAAUUAGUUGGAUGAAUCUCAGAAGAGACCGUGAACUUUGGACUUUAACAUUGUUGCGACUGCUAUAGACUAUAAGGACUUUGAAAGUUGGACUAAAUGCAUUUGCAUUAUGCUAUGUUUAAGUAUGGCCCCCAUAGACUCAUGUUUUUUUUUUUUAACACAUCUAUGAGGGCCAGGGAGUGGAAUGUGAUAGCUUGUGUAGUCUUGGACCAGGGAGUGGCACCAUCUGGAGGUAUAGCCUUGAUGGAAUAGAUGUGACCUGGUUGGAAUAGGUGUGUCACGAUGGGUGUGGGCUUAAGACUCUCACCCCAGUUGCCUGAAAGUCAGUCUUCCACUAGCAGUCUUUGGAUGAAGACAUAGAACUCUCAGCUCCUCCUGCGCCAUGACAGCCUGGAUGCUGCCAUGCUCCCACCUUGAUCAUAAUGGACUGAACCUCUGAACCUGUAAGCCAGCCCCAAUUAAAUGUUGUUUUUUUAUAAGA